rnacentral:rRNA from 1 species
GGGCCCGCACAAGCGGUGGAGCAUGUGGUUUAAUUCGAUGAUACGCGAGGAACCUUACCAGGGCUUAAAUGUAGUAUGACCGGUCUAGAAAUAGACCUUCUCUUCGGAGCAGAUUACAAGGUGCUGCAUGGUUGUCGUCAGCUCGUGCCGUGAGGUGUUAGGUUAAGUCCUGCAACGAGCGCAACCCCUAUUCUUAGUUGCCAGCGGUUCGGCCGGGGACUCUAAGAAGACUGCCAGCGCAAGCUGAGAGGAAGGUGGGAUGACGUCAAUCAUCACGGCCUUACGUCCUGGGCUACACACGUGCUACAAUGGUACAGACAGAGGGCAGCAAGAUCGCGAGAUGGAGCC